rnacentral:rRNA from 1 species
UGGUGGCGAUGCGCUUAGGGGUAACACCCGUUCCCAUCCCGAACACGAUGGUAAAGACCUAAGCGGCCGAUGGUACUGCACUGGAGACGGUGUGGGAGAGUAGGUGGCCGCCA